rnacentral:rRNA from 1 species
AGUGCGUUGACCUUGGGAUUCCUGAGAGUAUG